rnacentral:rRNA from 1 species
CGGACGGGUGAGUAACGCGUAGGAACCUAUCGCACAGUGGGGGAUAACACGGGGAAAACCGGUGCUAAUACCGCAUGUGGUCAGCGAUGAAGAAAGCGAGCAAUCGCGCUGUGUGAGGGGCCUGCGUCCGAUUAGCUAGUUGGUGGGGUAAGGGCUUACCAAGGCGACGAUCGGUAGCUGGUCUGAGAGGAUGGUCAGCCACACUGGGACUGAGACACGGCCCAG